AUGGAAAUACUCGCUGAUACUG
rnacentral:miRNA from 1 species